rnacentral:rRNA from 1 species
GACGAACGCUGGCGGCGUGCUUAAUACAUGCAAGUCAACUGAACUUAAGGUAGCAAUAUUUUAAGGGAGGUGGCGCACGGGUGAGUAACACGUAGGUAAUCUGCCUUUAGGUCUGACAUAAUUCCGCGAAAGCGGGACUAAUAUCAGAUGAUGCAGCGGCUCGACAUCGAGACAGUUGUUAAACCUUCGGGGCCUAAAGAUGAGCCUGCGUCUGAUUAGGUAGUUGGCGGAGUAAAAGCCCACCAAGCCUGCGAUCAGUAGCUGGUCUGAGAGGAUGAUCAGCCACACUGGAACUGAGACACGGUCCAGACUCCUACGGGAGGCAGCAGUAAGGAAUAUUGCUCAAUGGCCGAAAGG